AUACGAAGGGGGCUAGCGUUGCUCGGAAUGACUGGGCGUAAAGGGCGCGUAGGCGGUUUACACAGUCAGAUGUGAAAUUCCAGGGCUUAACCUUGGGGCUGCAUUUGAUACGUGUAGACUAGAGUGUGAGAGAGGGUUGUGGAAUUCCCAGUGUAGAGGUGAAAUUCGUAGAUAUUGGGAAGAACACCGGUGGCGAAGGCGGCAACCUGGCUCAUUACUGACGCUGAGGCGCGAAAGCGUGGGGAGCAAACAGGAUUAGAUACCCUGGUAGUCCACGCUGUAAACGAUGUGUGCUGGAUGUUGGGUAACUUAGUUACUCAGUGUCGAAGCUAACGCGCUAAGCACACCGCCUGGGGAGUACGGCCGCAAGGUUGAA
rnacentral:rRNA from 1 species